rnacentral:snoRNA from 1 species
AAUAUCGAGGAUGAGGAGCUAAUCUCCUACAUCUUGACGGGUCUAGAUCGUGAUUUUGAUCCUGUCGUCACUGCUGUGGCGGUGCAAAAGGAGCCUCUCUCUCUCAUCGAGCUGUAUACACAACUGAUCAGCCAUGAGA